GCUUGUCUUUGAUAAGACGAAUAUUAUUGACUGCCAGAGAGGCAUACGGAGACAAGGCAGUCAUGAUGGAUUCCACUACUGUGUGAGGAGCAAUGUUUCGGAGAAUGAUGGUAUCGCAGUAAUAAUCCACAGACUGAACGGCUUCUGCUGUUCCAGGUGGCACCUCCUGUUCUGAAUCAAAUUUGUCCGCACCGCAGCGGAAGCAUUUCAGUCUCCUUCUGAAGUUGUACAGACAGCACUUGUUGCAAAGCCAGUCCUCAAAUUUAGGCCUGGGGUUGCUGUAGUGCAUCGCAAUCUGCUUCCCCUGAAUCACCAGCUUUUUCUGCAAAAGAAGUGGUUUCAAUUAUUCCUGUAUCGAGGCACACACGUUCAUUUUCCCAUGGCAGAGCACCCUUCGGAGGAAUCAGUGCUCCUGAAUUAAAUGGACAACAUAUGGGGAGGAUGUGGAGGACAACCACCGCCACCUACACCCUGCCCAUCCAAUCCUGCAGAGAGGAGGACGAGGGCAGUAAGAGAAUGGGAUGUGGAGCAAAGAUAAACGGAAUCAGGGAGUGCUGAAAAAGUUGCCAAACACUAAACGCUGACAUGGAACCAGGAAGUGUCUCGAAGGAGACAAAGUCCUAACUUGCUGCAUUCAGGAUUAACACAUUUUUAGGAGUCUCCUUGCCCCGUUUCUAUUCACUUCUGGUAUAGCAUUGAGCGACUUUUUAAACAUGUCCUUAGGUGACUGCUUCACUUCUUCCCCUACUCCGAAUUCCCCAGACCUUUAAACAACCACAUUUGGAUUACUUUUCCAAGCACUUUCUUCAGAAGCGUCCCUUUGUAAAUACAGUAAUUCCUUCCAAAGGGACCCUGUUUAGACUUCUU
rnacentral:lncRNA from 1 species